AUUGAACGCUGGCGGCAGGCCUAACACAUGCAAGUCGAACGAGUGGCGGACGGGUGAGUAAUGUCUGGGAAACUGCCCGAUGGAGGGGGAUAACUACUGGAAACGGUAGCUAAUACCGCAUACCAUCGGAUGUGCCCAGAUGGGAUUAGCUAGUAGUUGGGGUAAUGGCUCACCUAGGCGACGAACCCUAGCUGGUCUGAUAGGAGGACCAGCCACACUGGAACUGAGAAACGGUCCAGACUCCUACGGGAGGCAGCAGUGGGGAAUAUUGCACAUGGGGCGCAAGCCUGAUGCAGCCAUGCCGCGUGUAGGAAGAAGGCCUUAGGGUUGUAAAGUACUUUCAGCGAGGAGGCGUUACUCGCAGAAGAAGCACCGGCUAACUCCGUGCCAGCAGCCGCGGUAAUAC
rnacentral:rRNA from 1 species